GACGAACCGUCCAAACGUUAUUCGGAAUUACUGGGCUUAAAGGGUGCGUAGGCGGCCAUUCAAGUCGGGUGUGAAAGCCCUCAGCUCAACUGAGGAACUGCGCCCGAUACUGUUUGGCUUGAGGAAGGCAGAGGUGAGCGGAACUUGCGGUGGAGCGGUGAAAUGCGUUGAUAUCGCAAGGAACACCAGUAGCGAAGGCGGCUCACUGGGCCUUUUCUGACGCUGAGGCACGAAAGCUAGGGUAGCGAAGAGGAUUAGAUACCCUCGUAGUCCUAGCUGUAAACGUUGAGCACUGGGUCGGAGAACCCUCCAUAGUUUUCCGGCCGUAGCGAAAGUGUUAAGUGCUCCGCCUGGGGAGUAUGGUCGCAAGGCUGAA
rnacentral:rRNA from 1 species